UACGUAGGGUGCAAGCGUUGUCCGGAAUUAUUGGGCGUAAAGAGCUCGUAGGCGGUCUGUCGCGUCGGCUGUGAAAACUCGGGGGCUCAACUCCGAGCCUGCAGUCGAUACGGGCAGACUAGAGUGCGGUAGGGGGAGACUGGAAUUCCUGGUGUAGCGGUGAAAUGCGCAGAGUAUCAGGAGGAACACCGGUGGCGAAGGCGGGUCUCUGGGCCGAUACUGACGCUGGAG
rnacentral:rRNA from 1 species